CGCCGUGUGAUGAGCACAGAGCUAACGAUUCUUUCGCGUUUUACUAAAGAAUACCGUGUGCUCGUCGCUAUAAGCGGCAUUCGCCAAUUUUUGGAGAGGUAUUCCUUGUUGGAUGCC
rnacentral:snRNA from 1 species